UACGUAGGGGGCUAGCGUUGUUCGGAAUUACUGGGCGUAAAGAGCGCGCAGGCGGUCGGAUCAGUCGAAUGUGAAAGCCCCCGGCUUAACUGGGGAGGGUCAUUCGAUACUGUUCGACUCGAAGGCAGGAGAGGGAAGUGGAAUUCCCGGUGUAGUGGUGAAAUGCGUAGAUAUCGGGAGGAACACCAGUGGCGAAGGCGACUUUCUGGCCUGUUCUUGACGCUGAGGCGCGAAAGCUAGGGGAGCGAACAGG
rnacentral:rRNA from 1 species